rnacentral:lncRNA from 1 species
AGAUUUUUAGAAAAAAGAAAAUUAAAAAGGAAAAAUGAAAAAGAAAAAGAAAAAGAAAUAAAGAGAAAUAGGAAAAAAGAAAACAGAAAAGGCCUCUGUCUUCUUCCUCUCUCCCUACAUCUGCUCCGCCGCUUCACCAGCACCAAAUGUGCCUCCAAACAUAUUUAAGAGGACGAAUCCCCUCACAUUCAAUUAGUGAACUUGGAAAGAAAUAAAUUUAUAAAUUAUGCAUUUAAUAUUCGGGUCGAAUUCAUUACCCGAAUGGCCGAACCGCAUCCAUCAAAUAUCUUUCUCGCAGCAGAGUUACAGAAGGGUUUAUCAAGGGUCUCAUUUUGAACGAAAAAUCUCUCUCUCUCUCUCUCUCUCUCUCUCUCUCUCUCUCUCUUGCUGGUAUGUAUGUUACGUUACACUUUCUUCAUAUACAGGGGAUAACUAUGGUGUAACUCAGUCCUUAGGGAUUUGAUUUCAAUUAAACCUCGUAGUUGUCUGACUUUUCUGCUUCAUUCACUUUCUGAAGCUGAAUAUUAGGGUGGAAACAAAUAAUGUGAUUUGAUUUGGCUGUAGAUCGUGGAGAUUCUGCUAAUGGCAUUGUCAAUUUCUAGAAGGGUAUUACGAAGCAGGCAAGCGGCGGAUAGCGGCAAAUUAGAAGCGGCAAGCGGCGAAUCAGAGCCGACGGGCGGCGGACGGCUGUGGGCUGAAGAAGGACGAAGAGUAAUUUGACUUUUGGUGGUGGUGACGUGAAGAAGAUGAAAUUUUUUUUCUUUUUCUUUUUUUUUUUCUUUUUUUUUAAGAUUUAUAUAUAUUUAUUAAAAAAGAAGGAAAUAAGUGUAAGUGGAAAAGACCAAUUUAUCCAGCUCAAAUCACGUGCUUCUCACGUGUUGUGGAUUCCGGUCACUUUUUGCUGAAAAUGGACAAUUUCUGCUCUGG